rnacentral:rRNA from 1 species
GACGAACGCUGGCGGCGUGCUUAACACAUGCAAGUCGAACGGAAAGGCCCUGGUUUUGUGGGGUGCUCGAGUGGCGAACGGGUGAGUAACACGUGAGUAACCUGCCCUUGACUUUGGAAUAACUUCAGGAAACUGGGGCUAAUACCGGAUAGGAGCUCCUGCUGCAUGGUGGGGGUUGGAAAGUUUCGGCGGUUGGGGAUGGACUCGCGGCUUAUCAGCUUGUGGGUGAGGUAGUGGCUUACCAAGGCUUUGACGGGUAGCCGGCCUGAGAGGGUGACCGGCCACAUUGGGCCUGAGAUACGAGCAGGACUGCUACGUGGGGCAGCAGUGGGGGACAUUGCACGAUGGGCGGAAGGCUGAUGCAGCAACGCCGCGUGCGAAAUGACGGCCUUCGGGUUGUAAACCGCUUUCGCCUGUGACGAAGAGUGAGUGACGGUAAUGGAUAAAGAAGCAACGGCUAACUACGUG